UACGUAGGUCCCGAGCGUUGUCCGGAUUUAUUGGGCGUAAAGCGAGCGCAGGUGGUUUAUUAAGUCUGGUGUAAAAGGCAGUGGCUCAACCAUUGUAGGCAUUGGAAACUGGUAGACUUGAGUGCAGGAGAGGAGAGUGGAAUUCCAUGUGUAGCGGUGAAAUGCGUAGAUAUAUGGAGGAACACCGGUGGCGAAAGCGGCUCUCUGGCCUGUAACUGACACUGAGGCUCGAAAGCGUGGGGAGCAAACAGG
rnacentral:rRNA from 1 species